UCUCCGUAGGUGAACCUGCGGAGGGAUCAUUACAGAGUUCGUGCCCUCACGGGUAGAUCUCCCACCCUGUGUUAUUAUACCUUUGUUGCUUUGGCGGGCCGCCCUCGGCUACCGGCCCCGGCUGGUACGCGCCCGCCAGAGGACCCCAAACUCUGAAUGUUAGUGUCGUCUGAGUACUAUACAAUAGUUUAAACUUUCAACAACGGAUCUCUUGGUUCUG
rnacentral:misc_RNA from 1 species